CCGGAUUUAUUGGGUUUAAAGGGUGCGUAGGCUGUUUUGUAAGUCAGCGGUGAAAGACCGGGGCCCAACUCCGGAAGUGCCGUUGAUACUGCAUUGCUAGAGUUCCCCUGCCGUGGGAGGAAUGAGUGGUGUAGCGGUGAAAUGCAUAGAUAUCACUCAGAACACCGAUUGCGAAGGCAUCUCACGAAGAGGCAACUGACGCUGAGGCACGAAAGCGUGGGGAUCAAACAGGAUUAGAUACCCUGGUAGUCCACGCUGUAAACGAUGAUGACUAGCUGCCGGCGAUACACUGUCGGUGGCCCAGCGAAAGCGAUAAGUCAUCCACCUGGGGAGUAUGACCGCAAGGUUGAAACUCAAAGGAAUUGACGGGGGCCCGCACAAGCGGAGGAACAUGUGGUUUAAUUCGAUGAUACGCGAGGAACCUUACC
rnacentral:rRNA from 1 species